CGACUCCUUGCAACGACCCGUUCACACCGCCCCUUGCGACGUUCUAAAACCGUCUCGUUGCAAGAUGAAUCUUUGGUCUGACCUGGGCUUAAGACAGAUUGCAAACAGAAUAUACCCUUUACUCAGAAACCCCAUUCCUACUAGGGAGAGACAUUCAGAGUCGUCUGCAUCGGUGGACAUUUUACCCUUUGGCGUACCGGUGUGGGUGUCAGAUUGACUCGGCUGCCAGAUCGACUCGGGUUCCUUGAUGCGCAAUGAUGACGCACUUCCUGUAAAAAAAAGUUUCAUUCAUUCCUAUGUUAUUCCGCAAUUUAGAAAUGGAAGCGUUUUACACUGAAGUGAAGCAUUACCUGAAGCUAAACCAAUACCACAGCCUAACCACCACCGCCCUCAACCCAGAAGGCAGGAAGGGUUACAUAAGGAAGGUCUCAAAGAUCAACCUUCUGGGUAGGGCAGAUGAGGAGCUGUAUUGUCGGCACCAAAACCAUACAAGGUUGGUUGUGUGCACCAACGAGUGGGCUCGUGAUGUCCGCCGCCCGAAGACAUGGAAAAGACAUCCACGUUGUUGACGCACAUGUGGUUCCAACUUGGAAGUCUGAAACAGUGGACCCAAUGGCUGGUCUUCCAGUACGUCAUUAUUUCCUGGACCUAGCACAGCGCAUUGCCCCAGGCCAGUGGAGAACUUAGCAUGGCAGAGACUUCGAGAUGAGAUAUCAUGGAUCCAGAGGGAGCUGUAAGCCUAGCAUCCAAAGAAAAACAAAUAGGAAGAGAUAUUGAUUGGGAAAAAAUUUUAAUUUGUCAAGACAAAUAUGGAAAAAACAGCCAAGAUAAAGUCCUAAGAAAUCCUUCUGGGAAUGGGCUAAAGUGUAUUAGAUUGAGAGCAAAUGAACGGGUGAAAUACCACGACGUAGAGUAUGCUGAUACUCUGGAGAGAAUUGAAGAGUUUCUGGACACAGAAACUGAAAAGAUAAAAUGGCACAAAACAUGCUAUUCAGCUUUUACAAAUGUUACUUUUAUUUCCCGCCUGAAGAAACGCUUUGAAAGUGAAAAAAAUGCACUAAAUACUGCAAGCAAUUGCCAGCCGAUCACCACUAGAACUUCGAUGCCUUCAUUGUCUUGGUAAAAAAAUAUUUUCUGUCAGAAAGACAA
ensembl:lncRNA